rnacentral:rRNA from 1 species
UACGUAGGUGGCAAGCGUUGUCCGGAAUUAUUGGGCGUAAAGAGCGUGUAGGCGGCCCGGUAAGUCCGCUGUGAAAGUCCAGGGCUCAACCCUGGGAUGCCGGUGGAUACUGUCGGGCUCGAGUCCGGAAGAGGAGUGUGGAAUUCCUGGUGUAGCGGGGAAAUGCGCAGAUAUCAGGAGGAACACCAAUGGCGAAGGCAGCACUCUGGGACGUGACUGACGCUGAGACGCGAAAGCGUGGGGAGCAAACAGG